AUUUUUGCUAAUUGACGGUAUUGCAAAUUUGAGUGAGUAUUAACUGCGGACGAAUAUAUUUCUAUCCAUUAAUUCCCAGGCCGUGCUAGGAUUUGCCUCGGUCAAACGCUUAGAAGAGCCUUUCUUGUAAAAAGACACAUUAAAAGAAGAUAAAAUGGCGCAAAUGACAUUUCUAAAGGUCCUUGUCAUAUUGCUCCUAGUUUCUGGCAGCCUGAUGGAAAUUGCAGCUGGAGAGCCAAUAAAAAAACAGGCGUCCGUUGAGCAGUGCUGCAACUUGUGCGAACAGAAGAACAUGGUCUGCAAGAAACUUGGGAAAUAUUGGUGCUCUUGUCAUUAUCGAAAGACAUAAAUACAACGAACACUAUUCUGCCAACAACGGACAUUAUUUUCAAACUAUAUAAAGAAUGAUAUCAGAAGCGGACUUACAUUAAAUUUAUAUUUAGAAAGACAUCACAAGCGGACAUAUUUUUAAUCUAUAUUUAGAGUGACAUCAGAAGCGGACAUAAAUUUAAUCUAUAUUUAGAACGACGUCAAUAGUAGAAACAGUUUGAAACCUAUGUUUAGAACGACACAGCGGUUAUGUUUUUUCUUCAACUUAUUUCAGGAUUGACGUUUUCAUAAUUAUUGCAAUAAAACAACAUACAUGUCCAAUAUGAGAAAGUUGAAUGAUAAUGACUCGUCUUCAAAUAAACUUUUCGAUAACUGCAAACAUUUUCGUAAUAUCGUUUUGUCAUGAAUAAAACAAUGUAAAGUUCA